GACGAACGCUGGCGGCGUGCUUAACACAUGCAAGUCGAACGGAAAGGCCCUGCUUUUGUGGGGUGCUCGAGUGGCGAACGGGUGAGUAACACGUGAGUAACCUGCCCUUGACUUUGGGAUAACUUCAGGAAACUGGGGCUAAUACCGGAUAGGAGCUCCUGCUGCAUGGUGGGGGUUGGAAAGUUUCGGCGGUUGGGGAUGGACUCGCGGCUUAUCAGCUUGUUGGUGGGGUAGUGGCUUACCAAGGCUUUGACGGGUAGCCGGCCUGAGAGGGUGACCGGCCACAUUGGGACUGAGAUACGGCCCAGACUCCUACAGGAGGCAGCAGUGGGGAAUAUUGCACAAUGGGCGGAAGCCUGAUGCAGCAACGCCGCGUGCGGGAUGACGGCCUUCGGGUUGUAAACCGCUUUCGCCUGUGACGAAGCGUGAGUGACGGUAAUGGGUGAAGAAGCACCGGCUAACUACGUG
rnacentral:rRNA from 1 species